rnacentral:rRNA from 1 species
GAUGAACGCUGGCGGCGUGCCUAAUACAUGCAAGUCGAGCGAACGGACGAGAAGCUUGCUUCUCUGAUGUUAGCGGCGGACGGGUGAGUAACACGUGGAUAACCUACCUAUAAGACUGGGAUAACUUCGGGAAACCGGAGCUAAUACCGGAUAAUAUUUUGAACAGCAUGGUUCAAAAGUGAAAGACGGUCUUGCUGUCACUUAUAGAUGGAUCCGCGCUGCAUUAGCUAGUUGGUAAGGUAACGGCUUACCAAGGCAACGAUGCAUAGCCGACCUGAGAGGGUGAUCGGCCACACGGGAACUGAGACACGGUCCAGACUCCUACGGGAGGCAGCAGUAGGGAAUCUUCCGCAAUGGGCGAAAGCCUGACGGAGCAACGCCGCGUGAGUGAUGAAGGUCUUCGGAUCGUAAAACUCUGUUAUUAGGGAAGAACAUAUGUGUAAGUAACUGUGCACAUCUUGACGGUACCUAAUCAGAAAGCCACGGCUAACUACGUG